rnacentral:lncRNA from 1 species
UUUUAUUCUACGAUACAAAUUUAUACUUAAACUAUUGAUUCAAUCAAUAAAGAAUAAUUUUUUUUCAUUCAAGUGUUAUGUGCCCUUGAAUCAUCCUUAGAAUUGAUAUUAUGAUACAUAUUCUCAACUAUUGAGAAUUAGAGGUAUAUAUGAUCGAUUCCUAAAUCGCUCUCGAUUUUAGGAUAGUCAUGGGGAUAGUGAUUUAUCCAGAU